UACGUAGGGAGCAAGCGUUGUUCGGAAUUACUGGGCGUAAAGAGUGUGUAGGCGGUGCUGCAAGUCUGGGGUGAAAUCUCACGGCUCAACUGGGAGGGUGCGCUAGAAACUGGAAUGCUAGAGGAUGGGAGAGGUAAGCGGAAUUCCUGGUGUAGCGGUGAAAUGCGUAGAUAUCAGGAGGAACACCUGUGGUGUAGACAGCUUACUGGACCAUAUCUGACGCUGAGACACGAAAGCGUGGGUAGCAAACAGG
rnacentral:rRNA from 1 species